rnacentral:lncRNA from 1 species
CUGAUGAGAGGAUGCAGCAAGCGGUGCAGCAGGCGGUGUUGGCACAAACUAGUCAAUGCUUUGCAAUGUUUGCGGUUAGUUCCUUAAUUGCCAAACACAUACAUAAUCUUCACUCAAUCAUAAUCUUCUACUACCAGUACUUAAUCUUCACUCAAACAUAAUUUGCAGGCUUAUUGUACCCAGAAUGGUAUGCCCGCUAUGCAGAUGCCUCAAUCAGGCCAUGGAUCUAAUGCUGAUGGAUCUUCACAUGCACGAGGCCCAAGCGACAACAACCUUGGUGGUUCUCCGAAUGUUUGAGAUCGAGUAUGGUUAGUGCGUACAUAUCUCAUUUACGUAGGUCUCAAAUUUGUCAACGUAGAAACAAGUAGCUAUCUUGAUUCUUGAAGAUCAAACUUAUAAGUAGAGACAAGUAGAUACCAUUUGAACCGUUUCAAACUAUAAUCCAUUUGAACAAUUUCAACCAUGAUCUUAAUUAAAUAUAUGCAUUCUUGAAGCUAUUUAUUUUCAUGAUUUAGAGAACACUUGAAGAUAUUCAUGAUUUAGAGACAAGUAGUUACUUAUUUUCAUGAUUUAGAAACCAUUUGAAGAUCUCCAUGAUUUAGAAACUUGUAAGUAGAGACCGUUUGAACCAUUUAAAGAUCAGACUUAUAAGUAAAGAUCUAGUGUUAAAUUAGCAUGUUCAAAAUUGGAUAAGUGUUCAAGAAACUCCAUAUGUACUAGAAGCUUUUUAUUUUGGAAACUCACUAUGGAAUAUGGAUCACUAUUUAUUUUGUAGUGUCGAAGUACUUUCUUUUGUCUAUUUGGCAUAUUGAUGAUUUCAAGCACGUUAUUUGACACACACCAUUCAAUCUUGUAGGUUGCCACCUGGAUGCUCUUUGGACUACGACAUGGACAUGAAGGCGUUUGUUGUAGUGCCAAAUCUUACGUAGUGAUGCCAUCUUUGUUCAUUGUGUAUUAUAUGCUGUGGAACUUUGUUUUGGGACUAUAUGCUAUGGAACUUUGUCCCGGGACUAUAUAUAUGCUAUGGAACUUUGUUUUGGGACUAUAUAUAUGCUAUGGAACUUUGUUUUGGGACUAUAUGCUAUGGAACUUUGUUUUGGG